UUUAUUUUUAGUGCCAAGGAUGAUCCCAACUGUUCUUCUAUUGCAGAAGAUGUUUAAAGGGAUAUGAAGAUGACAUUGAGAUGAAAAAUAAAUUGGCCUCAGCUCAGAGAAGGCGGCGCUGAGGUCAGCUGUGCUGUGCAGAUGACAGAGCUCUGACUGGGAGGCCUAAUGAAGGAUGCUCGGGGCUUGAAAGGGCCGGGGCGCUGCUUGUCCUGCCGCCUGCCGGGCCUUUUGUGCUGUAUAGAGUUGUCUCUCUUGUCGGAGCCAGGAACCAGACAGCUGGAAAACAGGCUUCAAUUCAGCCAUCAAACUGAAUAUUGCGUGAAGAGCAGGGAAGGAAGAGUGCUUCUGAAAAGAAAAGUAGAACAAGAGGAAAAGCAUGACGUGGUGGGCUUGGGGAUUCCUUUAAAGAGUGACUAUACUGAGGGAUGAAUGGUCAGUAAAGCACCUCUCUUGCUGGGUAUGGCUCAGUCUUAAGUCUUGUGUUCUGGUCCAUUUACUUCCUGCUGCUCCUGAAGAGUCAUCCCCCUUAAGAACCUGCUCUAGUGGCCGAAGUGAAUGAAUGCUGGUGUAGUCCCUCCCAGCAGCACAGGCAUGUGUACCCAGGCAUGCUCACACAUGCUCACACACAUAGACAUACACAUCACAUACACACACAUACACACAGUGUUACUGAUUAUUGUCAGCAUUUCAAGAAAAAAAAAUGAGUUCUCAUCUUCCCACUGUGCAGUGGUA
rnacentral:lncRNA from 1 species